rnacentral:rRNA from 1 species
GACGGGGGGUCCUAGCGUUGUUCGGAAUCAUUGGGCGUAAAGCGUGUGCAGGUGGUCUUGUAAGUCAGAUGUGAAAGCCCCGAGCUUAACUCGGGAAGUGCAUUUGAAACUACAAAACUUGAAUAUGGAAGAGGGUCGUGGAAUUCCUGGUGUAGUGGUGAAAUACGUAGAUAUCAGGAGGAACACCGAUGGCGAAGGCAGGUCUCUGGGCAUUAACUGACGCUGAGGAGCGAAAGCAUGGGGAGCGAACAGG